UGGCGGACGGGUGAGUAAUGUCUGGGAAACUGCCUGAUGGAGGGGGAUAACUACUGGAAACGGUAGCCAAUACCGCAUAACGUCGCAAGACCAAAGAGGGGGACCUUCGGGCCUCUUGCCAUCGGAUGUGCCCAGAUGGGAUUAGCUAGUAGGCGGGGUAACGGCUCACCUAGGCGACGAUCCCUAGCUGGUCUGAGAGGAUGACCAGCCACACUGGAACUGAGACACGGUCCAG
rnacentral:rRNA from 1 species